CCUACGGGUGGCUGCAGUGGGGAAUAUUGCGCAAUGGGCGAAAGCCUGACGCAGCGACGCCGCGUGAGCGAUGGAGUACUUCGGUAUGUAAAGCUCUGUCAGCAGGGAAGAGAAUGACGGUACCUGACCAAGAAGCCCCGGCUAAAUACGUGCCAGCAGCCGCGGUAAUACGUAUGGGGCAAGCGUUAUCCGGAUUUACUGGGUGUAAAGGGAGCGUAGGCGGCUGGGCAAGCCUGAUGUGAAAGCCCGGGGCUCAACCCCGGGACUGCAUUGGGAACUGCCCCGCUCGAGUGCCGGAGGGGCAGGCGGAAUUCCGAGUGUAGCGGUGAAAUGCGUAGAUAUUAGGAGGAACACCAGUGGCGAAGGCGGCCUGCUGGACGGUGUACUGACGCUGAGGCUCGAAAGCGUGGGGAGCAAACAGGAUUAGAUACCCGGGUAGUC
rnacentral:rRNA from 1 species